rnacentral:rRNA from 1 species
AUCCAGAGAACUUAGCAGAGAUGCUUUGGUGCCUUCGGGAACUCUGAGACAGGUGCUGCAUGGCUGUCGUCAGCUCGUGUUGUGAAAUGUUGGGUUAAGUCCCGNAACGAGCGCAACCCUUAUCCUUUGUUGCCAGCGAUUCGGUCGGGAACUCAAAGGAGACUGCCGGUGAUAAACCGGAGGAAGGUGGGGAUGACGUCAAGUCAUCAUGGCCCUUACGGCCAGGGCUACACACGUGCUACAAUGGCGCAUACAAAGAGAAGCGACCUCGCGAGAGCAAGCGGACCUCAUAAAGUGCGUCGUAGUCCGGAUUGGAGUCUGCAACUCGACUCCAUGAAGUCGGAAUCGCUAGUAAUCGUAGAUCAGAAUGCUACGGUGAAUACGUUCCCGGGCCUUGUACACACCGCCCGUCACACCAUGGGAGUGGGUUGCAAAAGAAGUAGGUAGCUUAACCUUCGGGAGGGCGCUUACCACUUUGUGAUUCAUGACUGGGGUGAAGUCGUAACAAGGUAGGCGUACGUGU